rnacentral:rRNA from 1 species
CAGUCGCCGCGGUAAUACGAAGGGGGCUAGCGUUGUUCGGAAUUACUGGGCGUAAAGCGCACGUAGGCGGAUAUUUAAGUCAGGGGUGAAAUCCCGCAGCUCAACUGCGGAACUGCCUUUGAUACUGGGUAUCUUGAGUAUGGAAGAGGUUAGUGGAAUUGCGAGUGUAAAGGUGAAAUUCGUAGAUAUUCGCAGGAACACCAGUGGCGAAGGCGGCUAACUGGUCCAUAACUGACGUUGAGGUGCGAAAGCGUGGGGAGCAAACAGGAUUAGAUACCCGGGUAGUCCCUGUCUCUUAUAC